UGGCGCCGGGUGAGUAUGUAUAGUUAAUCUGCCCUACACUGGAGGACAACAGUUAGAAAUGACUGCUAAUACUCCAUACUCCUUCUUAACAUAAGUUAAGUUGGGAAAGUUUUUUCGGUGUAGGAUGAGACUAUAUUGUAUCAGCUAGUUGGUAAGGUAAUGGCUUACCAAGGCUAUGACGCAUAACUGGUCUGAGAGGAUGAUCAGUCACACUGGAACUGAGACACGGUCCAGACUCCUACGGGAGGCAGCAGUAGGGAAUAUUGCUCAAUGGGCGAAAGCCUGAAGCAGCAACGCCGCGUGGAGGAUGACACUUUUCGGAGCGUAAACUCCUUUUGUUGGGGAAGAAAUUUGACGGUACCCAACGAAUAAGCACCGGCUAACUCCGUGCCAGCAGCCGCGGUAAUACGGAGGGUGCAAGCGUUACUCGGAAUCACUGGGCGUAAAGGACGCGUAGGCGGAUUAUCAAGUCUUUUGUGAAAUCUAAUGGCUUAACCAUUAAACUGCUUGAGAAACUGAUAAUCUAGAGUGAGGGAGAGGCAGAUGGAAUUGGUGGUGUAGGGGUAAAAUCCGUAGAGAUCACCAAGAAUACCCAUUGCGAAGGCGAUCUGCUAGAACUCAACUGACGCUAAUGCGUGAAAGCGUGGGGAGCAAACAGGAUUAGAUACCCUGGUAGUCCACGCCCUAAACGAUGUAUACUAGUUGUUGCUCUGCUAGUCAGGGCAGUAAUGCACCUAACGGAUUAAGUAUACCGCCUGGGGAGUACGGUCGCAAGAUUAAAACUCAAAGGAAUAGACGGGGACCCGCACAAGCGGUGGAGCAUGUGGUUUAAUUCGAAGAUACGCGAAGAACCUUACCUGGGCUUGAUAUCCUAAGAACCUCUUAGAGAUAAGAGGGUGCUAGCUUGCUAGAACUUAGAGACAGGUGCUGCACGGCUGUCGUCAGCUCGUGUCGUGAGAUGUUCGGUUAAGUCCGGCAACGAGCGCAACCCACGUAUUUAGUUGCUAACAGUUUGGCUGAGCACUCUAAAUAUACUGCCUUCGUAAGGAGGAGGAAGGUGUGGACGACGUCAAGUCAUUCAUGGCCCUAUGCCCC
rnacentral:rRNA from 1 species